CAUAGGCAAAUAAGUAAGUCAAGGUUACUACAGUAUACCUACUGUGUAACUGCUCACAUCCCACAGGAGAAAAGCGGCUGGUUUGUUUGCUUCUUGCUCUAAUGAGUGUUGUUUGCUCCAAAACUGCUGGGUUCCUGGGUUCCCUAGCUGAGAAGUAAAGCCACUGCAUAGGCAGCAUUCAUCCAGGCCCAUUGUAUCACUCUGGUGGAAUUGAAGGAUAGCCAUUGUAAAGACUGGAAGAGGAUCAGAAUAGACAGAGGCUGAGACCCUAAUCUAGCGGCCACUUCUGAGAUCCUUGAAAGGGCAGGUAGAGCCCAAGGCACAAGGACCCUAACAUGUGACCAGCCUCACCCAGCUGUUGUCAUCCAGGAGCGAGAGCCUAGAAUUGCUAGUUCUUCAAAUCUCCCAAGAGCCACCAGAAAUCUGGACUUUCUUGUGAAAUCUCCGUAUUUCUAAAUUUCAGCAACUAGUUCAAAUGUUUUAAAAACACAUCUGGAAGCCAGAUUAUGGCAGUAGGCCAUCAGUUAGGGACCUCUGAUAUUAGAUUAUGAUCCAGAAUACAGACUAAAACAUAUCUACCAUUGG
rnacentral:lncRNA from 1 species